rnacentral:misc_RNA from 1 species
GUGAAGACGUAGCGAAAUGCGAUAAGUAAUGUGAAUUGCAGAAUUCAGUGAAUCAUCGAGUCUUUGAACGCACAUUGCGCCCCCUGGUAUUCCGGGGGGCAUGCCUGUCCGAGCGUCAUUGCCGCCCUCAAGCACGGCUUGUGUGUUGGGCCCCCGCCCCCCGGCUUCGGGGGGCGGGCCCGAAAGGCAGCGGCGGCACCGCGUCCGGUCCUCGAGCGUAUGGGGCUUCGUCACCCGCUCUGUAGGCCCGGCCGGCGCCCGCCGGCGACCCCAAUCAAUCUUUCCAGGUUGACCUCGGAUCAGGUAGGGAUACCCGCUGAACUUAAGCAUAUCAAUAAGCGGAGGA